rnacentral:lncRNA from 1 species
CCUGUGCUGCUUUCUCUGUUGUAGAGACGGUUCCAAUAACAGUAGCACCUAGCGCAUUUGCCCACUGGCACAGAAGAGAUCCUACACCACCUGCUGCAGCAUGAACAAGAAUUGUGUGUCCAGGUUCAACCUAUAAUACAAGCUAAUAUGAGUCUCAUGCCAAGAAACACCAUAAUACUAUCAAAAGGAACACCACACGAAAUAUGCAAGCAAUGAUUUAACUUCUUAUGUCAGACCAGUGAUAUUUGAGGUGAAAGGCACAUCACGGCCUAAGAACCUCCUGAACCCAGGCAGAGAGUACUAACGUGAGGUGCAAGAUUGACAAGUUUUUAAAUGCACAGAACUAUAAUCCUGAACUCAAUAAAUGUCAAAUCAGACAUAUAAAACUGUUACCUAUGAACCAAAUGCAACUUAACUAAAUAACACAGAUACAUACAUAUUUGUAAAGUUAAGGUAUUAAACUAGGUUGCUGACCAAUAUAAGGGUCAGGUUAUACAUGCAAAUAUGGAGGAUCUUAACAUUCAGUCUCGUUACAUGGCAAAUGGCUAUAUGACCCAUGAUCUUGUAGUUUUCAUAUAUCCCUUGCUCUUUUCUAUUUAAACAAAAGUAUCUUACUACAAGUUUCUAUUGAAAUGUAGAGUCAAUAGGGUGUAUCAAAUUUUGGAAUUCACGUGCACGAACAGUUUUAUCAACUAAAGUAUAAACGAAUGGAGUGUUGGAUUGUGACAGAGAUCACAAAUGAAACCUCAUGCAAUUUGUCAAAUCCUCACAUGGUACUAAACUGUCAACUAUAGCUGCUUAAAUAGAUCGCUCCAUUCAAAAGGUAGCAAGAACUGGGCCAUGAAAGAACCUGAAUGGGCAAAGAAAAGUUUACAGAUACGAUAACAAAAGUAUAUAAGGCAAAUUAUUUUAUCAUGAACUUCCUUAAUAUAUAGCUUAUUACUAAUCAUGCAUUGAGGGGCGACAAUUUAAGUUGUGUACCUAAAUCAUAAAAUGACAGAGGCAAAAAAAAAAAUCCAACUAAAUUAGUUUUGGACUUUGAGAACUCAUAUUCUUUUCUAAUAUUGGAUGUACAUUUGGCACAUUGUGAAAGGAAUUGUCAUACAAGUCGUAGGAUGCAAAAAGUGAGAAGAAAACUGGAGUAAAAUAUUCAAAAUUCAUGUACCUUAAAACAGCGACGCACGAGAAAUUGAGCAGUCAUCCCCUUCAGCAUGACAGAGGCUGCAACAGCUGGAUCAAUAGAAGAAGGAACUGGAACCACUCUGUCCGCUGGAAGAAUCUGUUCUUCAGCGUAUGAUCCCAUUGGAUUUCCAGCAUAUGCAACAAGGUCACCUACUUUCCUGCCAGUUAGCCCAGGACCCACAGCUACCACAACACCAGCUGCCUCCAUACCUGCAAUCAAAAGCAAUAUUAAUUUAGUUUUAACCAAUUGUUAGCAUCGACAACUUUGUGUAUAACUGUAUAUAGACUCUUAUAUGCUCAAUAAUGAAUGAAAAAACAUAUCAGAACGCAUUUCUUUUCAUUAUUGUUAAAUGUGUGAGCAUCCUAAAGCAAAAAGUGCCAAAAUAAUAUAAGAAUUUCGCUGAAUGAUCCAUGAACUUUAAAGAGGAUGUACUUCAUAUGUUAAAAAUCAGUCAUGCAAAUUCACAAUAUAUGUAUAUCGUUAACUAAACAAAAGAGAUGAUCAGUGAUAGGGACAAAGAAAUAACAUAGAAAUUUUAUAGGAAAUAGAAGUGCAUAUAUACAGUAUACAAUUGCUGCAUAUAUACCGAGGUGUGUUACAAUGAAAGAGGUCGAGCCACUUUAUAUAUACAUUGAAUCAGCUUGCUCUCCAAGCCUGUAACAGUACUGUGAUGUCAUCAUAAUGAUGUCAGCACAUCAUGUCAUGCUACACCAAUAAUCAUCUUAAAAAUUACUUUAUUUAUUAUCUUUUCCAAUGCAAUUUUAUAGAAACGACGGUAGGUACGAGAAGAAAAUCUCUCCAAUAACAGUUUAUACCUAUAGAACUUACGACUGGAGUUCAAUGACAACAUGGUCCCUGUAGGCAUGUGCUAUAUGUGUCGCUUUGCGUGUCUAAUAUAUUGGUGACUGAACUUCAAAGUUUUCAGUCUAGAAAAAGUAAAUUACUUUAGGAUCUUUGGCUAAUCCUCAAGUAAAGAACUGAUAUAGUAGAAUUAACACCUUUACAAUUGGAACAAUAGCAGGGACGCAUCUUCCACAAUGAAAUAGACAAAUUAUUUGACCUGGCCUUUAAGGACUAAUUCAUAUUUUAGGAUUAAAAAUUGGCGAUAACCUAUUUCCCCUCCUUCACAACUAACAUUACUAACUUUUCCAAGUCCAUCAUCCUUAUCUUUAAGAAGAGUAGAGAACAAAAAUAGAUUCUGGAUAGGUUUCUAUGGAUAGUAGAUCUUCUUUUGGCAGAACUAGUUCAAGUAACAUUCAUAUAACAGAUGCAUAAUUGAAUAUAAAAGACAAUAAAAGCAUUUCGCAAAGUAUAAAUCUCUACUAGUAAUCAAACAUAGAACACUUUCUGCUGUCACUACCAUAAGGACUGUCCUGGAUAAGUUGAAACUGUACUCAAAUGAAUCAUAAAUUGACAAACAACAAUGCCAAAAGAAACACACACGCGAAUCUAGAACAUCAAAUAAAGAAUACUGAUACCUUUCUCCAAAACAGAACACAAAAGAAUCCAUUUAUUGUUUUAAGGAUCAAUUAUACAUGUUAUAGCAAGUACACGCUCAUAACAGCAAACCUGGUGUGAAGGGCAUUGUAGCUGCUUUGUAAACCCCUUUCCGAUAGUAUAUAUCAAUAAAAUUUAACCCAAUGGCCUUAUUUUUUACCCUGACCUCCCCAUCUUUGGGUUCUCCAAUUGGCACAUCCUCCCAUUUCAGGACCUGUUAUCAGUUCUACACAAUUUAAGUCAUUAUUCAACAAAAUUUACGACUCUAAUUAAAAUUCUGUGGGAGCACAAUCACAUAACAAGCCUAAAACUAGUUUUGCCUUAGUUGUAACACAGAAGAUGACAAAUGAUAAUGGACAGGUGUCCAAAGGGUAAGAUACUUGAGUUUCUGCUUGGAUGGGUAGGGAAUUUUGAAAAGAAGUAAUGUACCAUUACUUCGUCUCAAAAAUGAAGGAGCUGUUUAUAAACCAAACCUUGUCUGGUUCACGAAAUUAAUGUACUGUAAUUCAUAAAACAGCGAAAUUCACUCUUAUACAUUAGUACUCACAAUUGUUCUUUUAAUGAAUACAAGUUAACUGUCCAUGGGAAUUAAAAAAUAUGAUCCCCCUUUUUAUACAAUACUCUUUGGCAAACGACGUAAGAUAUUGUUACAUUCCAUUCUAUCAUUCCAGACCGAAACAUUACCGAGUGUCUAUAUGUCAUUCUUGUACUCAUAGUCCCAUACCCCUGAGCAACAAUGAUCAUUCAUCGGCCCUUGCAUUAUAGUACCGCGUAUAUGGAGGGUUCGAAUCUUAAUAAAGCUAGACUCGUUUCAGCAUUCUAAUUUCUGUAAUUGACCAAUAUCCACUAAAUAUUAAAUACAUGAAUGAUGUAGCAAACUGAUAUAUACAGAUUAAUAAUCAAGAGAUGAUCAAGUUAAUAACUACUGUAAACACAACAAAGUCAACAAUUCUAAAUGAUGCACACCGAUCAAUUAAAGAAGUCCUAAUGCACCCGCCCCCUAUGGGGUUCGAACCCUCAACCUCUUGUCGCUGGAGGGCUUGUUAGUCCAUGUAUAAAUCCUAAUCGAACUCUACCAUCAUCAAACUAAAUACACUACUAGCAAAUAAAAAAUAUAUAUUAUGAACUAUAAACUUCAGCUGAUAUUUGUGAUCACAACAUAAAGAUACUACAAUACAAACACACACANUUUAUAGAGUAUGGUAUGGUGACAUCCAUCAUCUCUAGCCUGUGCUGCUUUCUCUGUUGUAGAGACGGUUCCAAUAACAGUAGCACCUAGCGCAUUUGCCCACUGGCACAGAAGAGAUCCUACACCACCUGCUGCAGCAUGAACAAGAAUUGUGUGUCCAGGUUCAACCUAUAAUACAAGCUAAUAUGAGUCUCAUGCCAAGAAACACCAUAAUACUAUCAAAAGGAACACCACACGAAAUAUGCAAGCAAUGAUUUAACUUCUUAUGUCAGACCAGUGAUAUUUGAGG